AGCCUUGAGACUAAAUAAUGAUUUAUUCAAGGUGAGACCUGCCCGGUGCUAGUCUUGUAAACGGCCGCAGUACCUUGACUGUGCGAAGGUAGCAUAAUCAUUUGGCUUUUAAAUGGAGUCGGGUAUGAAUGGGGUAAUGUGGCUAAGCUGUCUCCUCUUUAUUCCUCUUAAUUUACUAAGUAGGUGAAAAUUCCUACCAGUAGAAAAAAGACGAGAAGACCCUAGGAGUUUUUAUUAGAGCUGUUUCUUAGCAGCACAAUUUUUGUUGGGGCGACAAAAGGAAAGCAGGAAUUGAUCUCCUUCUUAGAAAUAGGCCGACUUUAGUAAGAUAAAUUAAACUACCCUAGGGAUAACAGCGUAAUCUAAUUUGUUAGGUUUGCGACCUCGAUGUUGGWCUAGGAAUUUCWUAGGCUAGCCGCCUAGGUAUUUAUGUUCUGUUCGAACUUAAACUCCU
rnacentral:rRNA from 1 species